UUGAUCAAAGAAUAGAACAUGAAGAAACGAUCACAAAACAUGCAGAACUAAUAAAGAGUUGGAUAAAGUUCAAAGAGGACAGAGAAGCAGCUCGCCAGUACCGCGAGAAAAUGACCAAAUCCGCCAUUAUCGUCCAAGCGUGGUGGCGUGGUUUACUUGUUCGACAACAAUUGGGACCCUAUAAAGUUUUCAAGAAGAAAGGACAAACCAAAGAAGAAAAAUCUAGCAAGAAAAGGAAAUGAGUCCCACAUACUUAUUUAUACUAAUGAUUUUAUAUGAUUUCUUUUAAAUAUCUAUUUGUAUUUUUUUUUUUUAUUAAAUGUGUUUACAAU
rnacentral:misc_RNA from 1 species